GUUUUAUAUUUGUAGGUUUGGGGCAGUAACAUGUCAAAAGCUUCAGAACCUAGAAUUAAAGACAACAUAGGAGAAGAUUUCACAAAAAUUUCCUUCUCACCAGACUUAUCAAAGUUUAAAAUGGAGACGUUGGAUAAAGAUAUUAUAGCUCUGAUGUCCAGAAGAGCGUAUGAUGUGGCAGCUUCGUCACGUGGAGUGAAGGUGUACCUCAACGGAAAGAGACUUCCAGUGAAGUCCUUCAAGGAGUAUGUAGAACUGUACCUGAAGGGGAAGGAAGAUGAAAUGGGAAACCAACUGAAAUGCUCAUAUGAAAGUGUAAAUCCAAGAUGGGAGGUUGCAGUGGCCUUAUCGGACAGAGGAUUUCAGCAGGUGUCUUUUGUGAACAGUAUUGCUACCACAAAGGGUGGACGUCAUGUGGAUCAUGUUACUGAUGUUAUAGUCAAACAGCUUAUAGAAACCUUGAAGAAGAAGAAUAAGGGUGGCCUACAAAUUAAACCACACCAAGUGAAGAAUCAUCUUUGGGUGUUUGUUAAUUGUUUGAUUGUGAAUCCUACAUUUGAUUCGCAGACUAAAGAACAUAUGACUCUUCAAGCAAAGAGCUUUGGUUCAAAAUGUAGUCUGUCGGACAAAUUCAUUACCAGUGUUACCAAAUGUGGAAUUGUGGAAGCUGUGUUGACAUGGGCAAAAUUAAAAGCAGCAACUCAGCUUCAGAAGCAGUGCAGUGGCAAGAAGCAGAACAAAUUGAAAGGAGUUCCAAAGUUGGAAGAUGCAAAUGAUGCAGGCACUAGGAAUUCAUUGGACUGUACAUUAAUCCUCACUGAAGGAGACUCAGCCAAAACGCUGGCUGUGUCUGGUCUUGGUGUAGUUGGGAGAGACAAAUAUGGAGUGUUCCCACUUCGUGGUAAAUUGUUGAAUGUUAGGGAGGCAUCACACAAGCAGAUUGUAGAUAAUCAGGAGAUUAAUAAUGUUGUGAAGAUCCUCGGUCUACAAUACAAAAAGAAAUACGAAUGCUUAGAUGAUCUGAAAACCCUGAGAUAUGGAAAGCUUAUGAUAAUGACAGAUCAGGAUCAGGAUGGAUCUCAUAUAAAAGGUCUUCUGAUCAACUUUAUCCAUCACAACUGGCCAUCCCUCUUGAAAUUGCCAUUCCUUGAGGAAUUUAUUACUCCUAUUGUGAAAGCAACAAAAGGCUCAGAAGAGUUCUCAUUUUACUCACUACCAGAAUUUGAAGAGUGGAAGACAUCCAAGGAUAACUGGCAUACGUACAAGAUAAAGUACUACAAAGGUUUGGGAACCUCUACCUCUAAAGAGGCAAAAGAAUAUUUUUCUGAUAUGGUGAGACAUCGAAUUAAGUUUAAGUACAGUGGCCCACAAGAUGAUCAUUGCAUCAACAUGGCCUUCAGUAAGAAAUGUGCAGAACAACGUAAAGAAUGGUUGACAAGUUGGAUGGAAGACACAAAGCGUAGACGAGAACUAGGUCUUGCAGAACAGUACUUGUAUGAAAAGGAUACAAAAUCAGUUAACUAUGCAGACUUUGUUAACAAAGAGUUGGUACUCUUCAGCAAUUGUGACAAUGAACGUUCCAUACCCAGUAUGGUAGAUGGUCUGAAACCAGGGCAAAGAAAGGUGCUGUUCACUUGUUUAAAGCGUAAUGACAAACGUGAAAUCAAGGUGGCUCAGUUGGCAGGCUCUGUUGCUGAACAUUCAUCAUAUCAUCAUGGUGAACAGUCACUCAUGUCCACGAUUGUCAACUUGGCUCAGAAUUUUGUUGGUAGCAACAACAUCAACCUCCUGCAGCCUAUUGGUCAGUUUGGUACCAGACUUGCUGGUGGCAAGGAUUCGGCCAGCCCUAGAUACAUAUUCACUUUACUCAGUCCUCUUACAAGAUUUAUAUUCCAUCCACAUGAUGAUCCACUGUUGAAGCAUCAGUAUGAUGACAAUCAGAAGAUAGAACCUGUCUGGUACAUCCCCAUCAUCCCAAUGAUUUUGGUGAAUGGUGCUGAUGGCAUUGGUACAGGGUGGAUGACCAAGAUUCCCAACUACAAUCCACGAGAGAUUGUUGAAAAUCUGACGAGGAUGCUAGACGAUGAAAAACCCAAACCAAUGGUGCCAUGGUAUAAGAAUUUCACUGGUGUGGUGGAACCUCUUGUUGACAAGAAGUACAUUAUCUAUGGAGAAAUUUCUAUAAUCAAUGAAAGUAAACUGGAGAUAACAGAGUUACCUAUUGGUUCGUGGACACAGACCUACAAAGAAUCUGUGCUGGAACCCAUGCUGCAUGGAGCAAAUGAAAAGACUCCACCUUCCAUAACUGAUUACAAAGAGUAUAACACUGAUACAACAGUGAAAUUUGUUGUAACGAUGAGUGCUGAGAAACUGAGGGUAGCUGAAUCUGAGGGUCUGCAUAAAUUUUUCAAGCUUCAAACAACAGUGUCAUUGUCAUCUAUGUGCGUUUUUGAUGAUAACUGCUGUAUGAGGAAAUUUGAAUCUGUUGAGCCAAUCCUUAAAGAAUUCUUCAAAUUGCGUCUUGCCUAUUAUGGAAAAAGGAAAGACUAUCUCGAAGGAAUGCUGCAGGCGGAAUCACGAAAACUCACCAAUCAAGCAAGGUUUAUUAUUGAGAAGUGUGAUGGCGUACUUAUUGUUGAGAACAAGAAGAAGAAAGUGAUGAUAGAAGAGCUGAAGAGAAUGGGUUAUGAUUCGGAUCCAGUGAAAGCAUGGAAAAUAAGACAGAAUAAAGAUGAAGCUCUAGAAAUUGGAGUGACAGAGCAGAUGGAAAAUGAAGAUGCAGAAAGUUCACAACAAGAAGAAGACACUGAUCUAGCAGGACAGUAUGACUACCUCCUUGGGAUGACGAUGUGGUCAUUGACAAAAGAGAAGAAGGAUGAAUUGUUAAAGAAACGUGAUGAGAAACUUGUUGAACUUAAGACAUUGCAAGCCAAAACUCCUUCAUCGUUGUGGAAGGAAGAUCUGGAAGAAUUCAAUAAAGAGCUUGAUAAAGUUGAGGCAAAGGAGAAAGAAGAUGCUUUAGUGGGAAGCUCUGGAAAGGCAAUGAAACUAAAUAAAAAGUUUGGUGGACCAAAGAAAAGGGAAAUGUUGAAUGCGGCAGAAACAAAACCAUCUCCGCAAGGGCAGCGCGUUGUCCCUAAAAUAGAUCUGAAACUUAAGGAGAAAUUGGAAAAAGAAUCAUUGUCAAAAGAAAACAAAGGAAAAAGGGUAAAGAAAGAAAAGUUGCUCAGUGAAGAAAAGGAUGAGUUUGAUAUGAUGGAAGGAAACCAGAAAACUUUAGCAGAUCGUUUAGGCACAUCACCUGAAGAUAUAGAAAAGAAAUUGAAUGAAAAACGAAAAGAGAUAAAACAAAGGAAGCCUAGGAAAGAGUCAUCUUGUUCACCAAAGAAAAAGGGUAAAGGAAAGAGUCCAUGGGAAACUGACUCAGAAGAGGAAGAAGAAGAAGCGCCGAGUUCUGAUGAUAAUACACCCCGACCAUCACAAAGGACAACAGGUCGGAGAACUGCAGCUGCCAACCUUAAGUUUAAAUAUGACAGUGAAGAGGAUGACGAUGACAAUGACAACUUUGAGCUCCAUGACAACAGUAUGGAGAAUGGAGAUCAUGUGCCUGUCCAUGAUGCAGCUUUGGAUAAUGUUAAAUCUAAGACAAUUGACAUAAGUGACACUGAUAGUGAAUUUGAGAGCAGAAGUAAUCAUAAAAAACGACCUUUGACAGAUUCAGAUGAUGAUUUUACUAGUAGGCGAAAACCUGCUCAAGCCCCGAGAGAAGUAUCGUCAGAUGCAAUGUUUGAUUCACUUAUAAGUGGAAAUGGUAGUGGAAAAGGAUUAGUUAAAACAGAUGCAGCUGUCUUGUCUUCAGAUGAGGAUGUUCCUCCAUCACCUCAGAAGAAGCAGGAAGCCCCCAAAAAGAAGACUCUCUUUAAGUCAAAUAUACAUGAAAACAAGCCUAAGAGGGCCCCUAAAAAGGCAGCACCAAAGAAGAGAAAUGUCUCUGAUUCUGAUGAAGAUAUGUUUGCAGUACCUGCAAAAAAGAAAUCAAGAAAGAAAGCAUCCUCUGAUGAAGAUGAUGACGAUGAUGAUGACGAUGAUGGUUAUGUUCCACCACCGAGAGCUUCUGUUGGUGGACGAGCUCGUAAACCAGUAAAGUACAAUUUUGGUGAUGAUGAUGAGGAUGGUGAUGACGAUGAUUAGAAGAUUCGUACCUAAGCAGCGUAUUUGCAGCACAGGUAUCAGAAACAGAAACUAUAGAAGACUGAAAAAUCUUGCAGAGAAAAGUCACUGAAUGCAACAGAGGAAGAGGAUAAUGAAAGUGAAAUCAGUGAAUAGGACUCUGAAAUUGUAACUUCAGAGCUGCAAAUGAAAGUGUAUUUCUUUUCUGGGAAGACCACUAGACACCCUCUUGUUAUGUCAGAAUUUAUGACUUGUCCAUAUGAAAGAAGUAAUUAGAAUGUGCAUUCUGUGCUGAUAAAAGAAGGUAUGCAAACACAUUUGCAUUCACCAGAUCCCUGAAUUAUAUUUAUUAUCAAUCAAAGCGGAUAUCCACACAGAGAAUGGACGUCUUUUGACAGAAGUUAAUCCAGCUUCAACAACAGAAUGCAUCUACGCAGUAAAUAAUGAGAAAAUGGACAAGGCAACAGAAAUUUUUAUGAAGAAGAUCAAUUCUACAUCCUUUACAGUUUUCUGAAGAUAACUGAUAUGAAGAAAGGAGACUAUUAUAAAAGGUCUAAUCUAAUCUAAUUAUCAUUAAGGAGCCGCAACAAAUAAUACAACCAACUCUUGAAACAUGUAUAUUAAAAUAUAUCUCAGACAAGGGACAUUGUCCAAUCAAUGUAUGAUGUUCGAGGUUUUCACACUUGUGAAAAUGUUUCGGCAGUGGUCUUAUGGGUUAUUGUACCUUGUAGUUGCAGUGUCAUAACCCAGAACACCAUAAUCUGUGAAGUGCGUCUUUUUUGUAUUGUAAGGAACUGGAGAAGAAUUAAAAUGUUUUAGAGUUUUGGAUUAACAAAUGA